rnacentral:rRNA from 1 species
UAGGGAAUCUUCGGCAAUGGGGGGAACCCUGACCGAGCAACGCCGCGUGAGUGAAGAAGGUUUUCGGAUCGUAAAGCUCUGUUGUUAAGGAAGAACGAGUGUGAGAAUGGAAAGUUCAUACUGUGACGGUACUUAACCAGAAAGGGACGGCUAACUACGUGCCAGCAGCCGCGGUAAUACGUAGGUCCCGAGCGUUGUCCGGAUUUAUUGGGCGUAAAGCGAGCGCAGGCGGUUAGAUAAGUCUGAAGUUAAAGGCAGUGGCUCAACCAUUGUAGGCUUUGGAAACUGUUUAACUUGAGUGCAGAAGGGGAGAGUGGAAUUCCAUGUGUAGCGGUGAAAUGCGUAGAUAUAUGGAGGAACACCGGUGGCGAAAGCGGAUCUAUGGUCUGUAACUGACGCUGAGGCUCGAAAGCGUGGGGAGCGAACAGG